CUAAAAGAGUUUGAACAUAUAUAUUCACAUUCUGAUUUUUUGAAUUGUAUCCAGUGGACUUUGUGCUUCAGCUAUAUUAUGAUGUGUCAUCUCUUAUAUCAAAAAGUAAACAAAAAUACCGAACUCCGAGGAAAAUUCAAAAGUCCGUAAUCAAAUGGCAAAAUCAAAAGCUCAAACACAUCAAACGAAUGGACAACGACUGACAUAUUUCUGAUUUGGUAAAGACAUUUUCUAAUGUAGAAAAUGGUGGUUUAAUAGCUCUCAUUUGUAUGACAGUCGCUUAAACUUCAGUUAUAUGAAAAACACUGUGUGAACAAAACAAACUGAUAUGCUAUGAAAAAAAUGACAAAAAUAGGUGAACAACAGUAAAAAUUGUGUUAUAAUCUUAAUCAAUGAAAAGAAAAAAUAUGAAGCGAAGAAAUCACUAAGUGGCAUAUAGACAAGGCACAUAAGAAGAAAUGAAAGACAAGAAUAUAAAAUUUUACCAUAGAACAAUAACACAAAGACGGGAUGUAUAAGUACAGAGUGAUGUCAAAUGGAUGUCGCAAAAGCCGACUGAACAGUAAAAGUAAUAUUCAUAAAAACAGAGAGAACAAUAAUAUAACGCGUUAUUAAGAUGAGAAACAACAAUAGUACCCAGAAUCUUAGCAUCAAUACCAUUGUGUAUGACUUUCAAGAUUUAUACGGAAUAUUUAUCAACAAGGUCUUGGUACCUUCCGUUGAACUUUUUUAUAACCCCUGUUUAUCAACUUUUUUUAAUGCCUAUAUGUCACUAUAGCACAA
rnacentral:lncRNA from 1 species